rnacentral:RNase_P_RNA from 1 species
UAAGUUGGAUAAACUGCCGCCGCAGCUAUGCUGGGGAGGAAAGUCCGGACUUCAUAGGGCAGGAUACUGGCUAACGGCCAGGCGGGGUGACCCGACGGAAAGUGCAACAGAGAGUAGACAGCCGAUCUUAACUUGUUAAGAGGCAAUGGUGAAACGGUGAGGUAAGAGCUCACCAGCGAUGUGGUGACAUGUCGGCUUGGUAAACCCUAUCCGAAGCAAGGCUAAGCAGGGGUGAGCAGUGUUUUAACAACUGUGACAUCUGCCCGAUGCACCCCGGGUAAGCCGCUUGAAUUGCUUGGUAACAAGCAAUCUAGAUGAAUGGCAGUUUCUUAAGUUUUCUUAUAGACAGAAUCCGGCUUACCGUCCAUCUUAGAGU